rnacentral:piRNA from 1 species
UGAAUGGUAAGAGCUGAGAGAUCCCAUCAC